rnacentral:rRNA from 1 species
AAGACCUUGCGCUUUUGGAGCGGCCGAUGUCUGAUUAGCUUGUUGGUAAGGUAAAAGCUUACCAAGGCUUCGAUCAGUAGCUGGUCUGAGAGGACGGCCAGCCACACUGGGACUGAGACACGGCCCAGACUCCUACGGGAGGCAGCAGUGGGGAAUUUUGGACAAUGGGGGCAACCCUGAUCCAGCCAUGCCGCGUGAGUGAAGAAGGCCUUCGGGUUGUAAAGCUCUUUCAGCCGGGACGAAACGGUUACGGUUAAUACCCGUGACUACUGACAGUACCGGAAGAAGAAGCACCGGCUAACUACGUGCCAGCAGCCGCGGUAAUACGUAGGGUGCAAGCGUUAAUCGGAAUUACUGGGCGUAAAGCGUGCGCAGGUGGUUUUGUAAGUCAGAUGUGAAAUCCCCGGGCUUAACCUGGGAACU